UACGAAGGGUGCAAACGUUGCUCGGAAUUAUUGGGCGUAAAGCGCACGUAGGCGGCAUUGAAAGUCGGAUGUGAAAUCCCUCGGCUCAACCAAGGAAGUGCAUCCGAAACUGCAGUGCUUGAGUACCAAAGAGGAUCGUGGAAUUCCCGGUGUAGAGGUGAAAUUCGUAGAGAUCGGGAGGAACAUCAGUGGCGAAGGCGACGAUCUGGGUGGAUACUGACGCUGAGGUGCGAAAGCGUGGGGAGCAAACAGG
rnacentral:rRNA from 1 species